AGAGUUUGAUCAUGGCUCAGAAUCAACGCUGGCGGCGUGCCUAACACAUGCAAGUCGAACGCGAAAGUCCCGCAAGGGAUCAGUAGAGUGGCAAACGGGUGAGUAACACGUGGGUGACCUGCCCUCGAGCGAGGGAUAACGUCCCGAAAGGGACGCUAAUACCGCAUGACAUCCUGCCUUUGAACAGGCGGAGAUCAAAGCUGGGGAUCGCAAGACCUAGCACUCGAUGAGGGGCCCGCGCCUGAUUAGCUAGUUGGUGAGGUAACGGCUCACCAAGGCGACGAUCAGUAUCCGGCCUGAGAGGGCGGACGGACACACUGGGACUGAGACACGGCCCAGACUCCUACGGGAGGCAGCAGUGGGGAAUUGUUCGCAAUGGGCGCAAGCCUGACGACGCAACGCCGCGUGGAGGAUGAAGACCUUCGGGUCGUAAACUCCUUUCGAUCGAGACGAAUGGCCUCCGGGUGAACAAUCCGGAGGAGUGACGGUACCGAGAGAAGAAGCCCCGGCUAACUUCGUGCCAGCAGCCGCGGUA
rnacentral:rRNA from 1 species